rnacentral:rRNA from 1 species
AAUCUUCCGCAAUGGGCGAAAGCCUGACGGAGCAACGCCGCUUGAGCGAAGAAGGUCUUCGGAUUGUAAAGCUCUGUCUUUAAGGAAGAACACCUUAUAGAGGUAAUGCUAUAAGAAUGACGGUACUUAAGGAGGAAGCCCCGGUUAACUACGUGCCAGCAGCCGCGGUAAUACGUAGGGGGAAAGCGUUGUCCGGAAUUAUUGGGCGUAAAGCGCGCGCAAGCGGUCAUGUAAGUCUGAUGUGAAAACCUAGGGCUCAACCCUGGGACUGCAUUGGAAACUGUGUGACUUGAGAGCAGAAGAGGAGAGUGGAAUUCCUAGUGUAGCGGUGAAAUGCGUAGAUAUUAGGAGGAACACCAGUGGCGAAGGCGACUCUCUGGUCUGAAACUGACGCUGAGGCGCGAAAGCGUGGGGAGCAAACAG